UACGUAGGGGGCGAGCGUUGUCCGGAAUCAUUGGGCGUAAAGAGCGUGUAGGCGGUCGAUCAAGUCGCGUGUGAAAGCCCCCGGCUCAACUGGGGAGGGUCACGCGAUACUGAUCGACUCGAAGGCAGGAGAGGGUAGUGGAAUUCCCGGUGUAGUGGUGAAAUGCGUAGAUAUCGGGAGGAACACCAGUGGCGAAGGCGACUACCUGGCCUGUUCUUGACGCUGAGGCGCGAAAGCUAGGGGAGCAAACGGG
rnacentral:rRNA from 1 species